GAAAAAUGUAUUAAAUCAGUGGGUUUUUUCAACAGAAUUAAAAUUGUUUGCAUAGACUUUGAACACACUAAAUAGACUGGCCUUCACUGGCCUCCCUGCUGCCAUAGAUUGUGAUGGAUACGAACUGUGAAAUACAUUUACAGUCUUAAUAAUCCUGCAGGAACUAGGAAAAAGGGCAAUACAAGGAAAAUAAUUUAGGGCUACAUUUAGUGUGAUAUGAAACUAUGCUGAAAGGUAAUCUAGCAUGCUUAAAUUAAACGUAAGUUCUGAGGCUCACGCACAACAAGUUCUGCCCAACUUUCCUCCUCUCUUUCUCCACUGGUCUAUUUCUAUCUUGCCUGUUAAUCUUUCCAUCACUGCACUGUAUGCUGGGCUUGAUGUCCACUUUACCACGCACAGAUGGUGAAGUCUGUAACAAAACCUGUGGAGAGUAACUAAGAGGGACUUACCAGCCCUGACUACCUACCACCAGGUAUAACCUGACUUAUGCCAAAGGAAGGACAGACAAUGGCAUAGAUCUGAAGCCACCUGGAAGCCUGAAGGGUUUCUACUUAAAUGAUGGCAAAUUUAAAAAUAAUAAGUUUUCAGUUACAUGAUUAUUUAAUUGGAAUUCUGAAAGCUAAGAAACACACAGAGAACUUUUAUCAUGGAGCUACAUUUAAACACACUCCAUAAAAACACAAAGGGUGCUAGGUGUGAUGGUAUGCGCCUCUAAAUCCAAGCGCUCUGGCAUCUACAGCAGAAAGAUGGUGAAUUCAAGUUAAUGAGCCAGGUAUGGCCAUGCACACUUAGUCCUGGCUUUGGGAGGCAGAGGCAAGUGGCGGGGGGCUGGGAGGGAUGUCAGAGGUCCAGACCAGCCAAGACCAACCCUGUCUCAAAUGACUGACUGGGUAAACAAACAGAUAAAUAGUAAGUCAACCUGGUCUACAUAGUCAGUCUCUGUUAUCAACAAACACACAUGAGGCAGAAACUAUUUCAAAAAAGAAAGCUUAUAAUGCAUCUUUUCUUUCUUUCUUUCUUUUAUCAGAUUUAUUUCACGCAUGAGUACUCUAUCUGCAUGUACAACUGCAUGCCAGAAGAGGGCAUCGAUCGGAUCCUAGUUGUAAGGCAACCAUGCAGUUGCUGGGAACUGAACUUGGGACCCCUGGAAGAGCAGCCAGUGAGUGCUCUUACCCUCUGAGCUAUCUCUCCAGCCCUGUAAUGCAUAUUUUCUAUAUGGUCCAAAUUUUAAUUCUCUCUUCCCUAAUCUAAAAUGUUUUUGGUCUAGACUGUCAGAGAUUGAAUCAAUUUAUAGAAAAAUAAGGGAUUUUUGUGAUUAGUAUUUAUCAAUUACAUGAAAAAAUGUUUUUACUUUGGCAUUUUUAUUGUAGGUAUAAAGAGUUGAAACAGAGGCAAGCAGCAUGGUAUGAGGUCUCUCUACUUGGAAAGCCAUGGGAACAAGUGCCCUGCCAGCAGAACCACCUCAGUCUGCUCCUCUCUCUCCGCCUGGCCGCCACGGUCUGAGGUGACUAUUGUUAAGGAAGGAGUGCGGGCUCCUUUCUAACCACAGGAGAGUGUGGUCCACACAGAGGCAGGCAGGGUCCAAGAUGUGCGUCACCUACAGCUUACCAUCUACCGUGGGAGUCAUCUCUAACUCUAUGAAAGCAGAGAGUCCACAGUGCCCACAGUGGCUACAAUUUUCUUACCGUACUAUUUUGUGGAGUCACCAAGGUUCAGACAGAGGAGACCUCAUGAGAUAGUCCCGGAAGUCCUUGCUCCGGACAUAGUCCGCCGCUUUGCGCACCAGCGCUCCAGCCAUGGCCGUGCCGUUGGCGGUGAAGCCGCUACCUAGACAGAUGACACCGCUGUGGACUCGGCUGAGGCCCUCGGCGCUCUCACCCCAGCGCCCGCCUCACGACACUCGGAGAAGCCUUACGACCGCUCGGCG
rnacentral:lncRNA from 1 species